GACGAACGCUGGCGGCGUGCUUAACACAUGCAAGUCGAACGGAAAGGCCCUGCUUUUGUGGGGUGCUCGAGUGGCGAACGGGUGAGUAACACGUGAGUAACCUGCCCUUGACUUUGGGAUAACUUCAGGAAACUGGGGCUAAUACCGGAUAGGAGCUCCUGCUGCAUGGUGGGGGUUGGAAAGUUUCGGCGGUUGGGGAUGGACUCGCGGCUUAUCAGCUUGUUGGUGGGGUAGUGGCUUACCAAGGCUUUGACGGGUAGCCGGCCUGAGAGGGUGACCGGCCACAUUGGGACUGAGAUACGGCCCAGACUCCUACGGGAGGCAGCAGUGGGGAAUAUUGCACAAUGGGCGGAAGCCUGAUGCAGCAACGCCGCGUGCGGGAUGACGGCCUUCGGGUUGUAAACCGCUUUCGCCUGUGACGAAGAGUGAGUGACGGUAAUGGGUAAAGAAGCACCGGCUAACUACGU
rnacentral:rRNA from 1 species